GGAAGAGAGAGGCCAGGUGUUGCAACAUUUAGCUUCUAGUUUCAGCUCUGCUACAAACUAACAAACCAUUUUGACCAACUUCCUUAAACUCUCUGGACUUCAGUUUCCUCAUCUGAAAAAUGAGAGUGAUGGCCUGAAUUCCUUUCAAAUCCGCCAGCCCCGUUACUUUCUUCCCCCUGUUGAAACACCUAUGGAAGCUACUGUUCUCUUAUUGUCUUUGGUGGAUACGAAGACUUCUGUAUUGCAAGAGUACCAUCUCCAACCUAAAUGACCUCUCAAGAAAACGAAAUCUUGAAUCAUUUCCACCUGAUAUGGAAACAGUUUCAACAGGUAAAGCAACUCUGCCUAUGGGAUGGGGAUCAAGGAGAACACUUUACCUGACAGCUGUUUGCCUCCUUACCUCAUCUCUGCACAAUGGAGAGAAUCCUGCUUUGGCCUCAGCGCUGCUGUCCCCCUGCCUCUGCCCAGCAUCUUAUGCGCUGACCCGCACCAUUCACUUCCUUAAAACUUCAAGGACUAGAGUGCUUUCAAGCUUCUACUAAAGCGCUUUUCUUGAUGGAUGCUGUGCUUCUGAAAUCAGAAUAACCCCCUUCAGUUGCUCAGCCCUCACUGGUCUCAAACACUGAGAAGAGGGAAAAUGGAUCGCUAAUUGUUUUCACUGCUGCUCAACUAGGAGUUAAAAGCGUUAAUACUGUUGAGCCAAAGAUUGCAGAUUGUGUACAAAGUGGCAUACUUCUAUUUUUCUUCUUGUCAAGAGUGGUUAAUUUUCUCCUGAGGAACUCUAGCUGUGAACCGUUUUAUCCAGCAUUGAAUAAUGGAAAGAAAUUGCAUCUUUUAAGCCUGGUAAGUAUGGUAUUUAUUUGUAAUUUCACUUAAGAGAUGAACCAGUUAAGACUUCUACAAAAUGUCAAUACAUCUAAACACAGGGCAUCCAGAGGCAAUUGCUGUGGUUUUGACAAGUGGUUUAGUUUCCAAUUUGCUACUUUACUUACUUAUUUUAGUUAUGGAUAAAUAGGGUAAGCUAAAUUCACAACGCUAUGAGAAUUUUUUCCCUUUGGUGAUUAAUAAAAAGGCAGAGGGAAAUACA
rnacentral:lncRNA from 1 species